UACGGAGGGUGCGAGCGUUAAUCGGAAUUACUGGGCGUAAAGCGCGCGUAGGUGGCUUAGUAAGUCGGGUGUGAAAGCCCCAGGCUCAACCUGGGAAUUGCAUUCGAUACUGCUAGGCUAGAGUAUGGGAGAGGGAAGUGGAAUUCCGGGUGUAGCGGUGAAAUGCGUAGAUAUCCGGAGGAACACCAGUGGCGAAGGCGGCUUCCUGGACCAAUACUGACACUGAGGCGCGAAAGCGUGGGGAGCAAACAGG
rnacentral:rRNA from 1 species